rnacentral:rRNA from 1 species
GGGGAAUCUUGCGCAAUGGGGGCAACCCUGACGCAGCGACGCCGCGUGCGGGACGAAGGCCUUCGGGUCGUAAACCGCUUUCAGCAGGGACGAGACAAGACGGUACCUGCAGAAGAAGCCCCGGCUAACUACGUGCCAGCAGCCGCGGUAAUACGUAGGGGGCGAGCGUUAUCCGGAUUCAUUGGGCGUAAAGCGCGCGUAGGCGGCCGCGUAGGCGGGGGGUCAAAUCCCGGGGCUCAACCCCGGUCCGCCCCCCGAACCCCGCGGCUCGGGUCCGGUAGGGGAGGGUGGAAUUCCCGGUGUAGCGGUGGAAUGCGCAGAUAUCGGGAGGAACACCGGUGGCGAAGGCGGCCCUCUGGGCCGAGACCGACGCUGAGGCGCGAAAGCUGGGGGAGCGAAC